rnacentral:rRNA from 1 species
AGAGUUUGAUCAUGGCUCAGGACGAACGCUGGCGGCGUGCUUAACACAUGCAAGUCGAGCGGAAAGGCCCUUCGGGGUACUCGAGCGGCGAACGGGUGAGUAACACGUGAGGAACCUGCCUUAGCUCUGGGAUAGCUUCGGGAAACCGGAAUUAAUACCAGAUAUGCCUUUGUCGGCAUCGACAACGGUGGAAAGAUUUA